rnacentral:rRNA from 2 species
GACGUAGGGGGCCAGCGUUGUUCGGAAUUACUGGGUGUAAAGGGUCAGUAGGCGGUGCGGCAAGUCGGGAGUGAAAUCUCUGGGCUUAACCCAGAGGCUGCUUCCGAAACUGCUGUGCUUGAGUGUGGGAGAGGCGCGUGGAAUUGCAGGUGUAGCGGUGAAAUGCGUAGAUAUCUGCAGGAACACCCGUGGCGAAAGCGGCGCGCUGGACCACAACUGACGCUGAAUGACGAAAGCUAGGGGAGCAAACAGG